rnacentral:rRNA from 1 species
UUGCAAGCCGCCGCGGUAAUACGAAGGUGGCAAGCGUUGUUCGGAUUUACUGGGCGUACAGGGAGCGUAGGCGGUUCGGUAAGCCCUCUGUGAAAUCUCCAGGCUUAACCUGGAACAGUCGGAGGGGACUGCUGAGCUAGAGGAUGGGAGAGGAGCGCGGAAUUCCCGGUGUAGCGGUGAAAUGCGUAGAGAUCGGGAGGAAGGCCGGUGGCGAAGGCGGCGCUCUGGAACAUUUCUGACGCUGAGGCUCGAAAGCGUGGGGAGCAAACAGGAUUAGAAACCCGGGUAGUCC